rnacentral:lncRNA from 1 species
GUAAAUUGACCUUAUUCAUGAUUUCUAUGCUUUUGGGGCUACACCUGCAUCUGUCUUAAAUUUACUCAUCAAAUGCCUUUUUCUAGAUGCCCAACCUAAUUAGUUAUUAUUUGUUUAUGCCCUCUAAGCCCUUGAAUUGGAACCUUUCAUUCAAUGUAGAGUUGUGGAUGUCAGUAAUGUGUAUUUUAGGCUUUAAUUUUCAGACUCUUCCUGUCAAAUGAUCUAUGCUUGGUAAGUGUUGGAGUAAAUCAGAUCAAAUAUAGGACUAAGUUAACUUAGAAUUUGUAGGUUUUAGUGGAGAGUAUUCUGCUGACACAUUUAUUUUGCUGCUAAUGACAACUUCAAAUCCCAACUAAGAAUGUGAAAUUGAUAUGAAUAUAGGAUUGUAUGAGGGGGCAAUCACUAUAUAGGGUUUAAGGGCG